GCUGGGCGUGGUGGUGGGCGCCUGUAAUCCCAGCUACUCGGGAGGCUGAGGCAGGAGAAUUGCUUGAACCCAGGAGGCAGAGGUUGCAGUGAGCUGAGAUCGUGCCACUGCACUCCAGCCUGGGCGACAGAGCAAGACUCCGCCUCUC
rnacentral:SRP_RNA from 1 species